rnacentral:rRNA from 1 species
GUGAAAUCCUGGUUGAAGAUGGGUGGACCAUCAUCCAAGGCUAAAUACUACUUACUGACCGAUAGUGAACCAGUACCGUGAGGGAAAGGUGAAAAGAACCCCGGAGAGGGGAGUGAAAUAGAAUCUGAAACCGUUUGCGUACAAGCAGUGGGAGCAUGGUUUAGGCUGUGUGACUGCGUACCUUUUGUAUAAUGGGUCAGCGAGUUACUUUCAGUGGCGAGGUUAACUGCAUAAGGGAGCCGUAGAGAAAUCGAGUCUGAAUAGGGCGAUAGUCGCUGGGAGUAGACCCGAAACCGGGCGAUCUAGCCAUGUGCAGGAUGAAGGUUGGGUAACACCAACUGGAGGUCCGAACCGGGUAAUGUUGAAAAAUUAUCGGAUGACGUGUGGCUAGGAGUGAAAGGCUAAUCAAGCCCGGAGAUAGCUGGUUCUCCCCGAAAGCUAUUUAGGUAGCGCCUCGUGAAUGAUUACUGGGGGUAGAGCACUGUUUCGGCUAGGGGGCUGUCAUGGCUUACCAAACCGAUGCAAACUCCGAAUACCGGCUAAUUGAAUCACGGGAGACACACGGCGGGUGCUAACGUCCGUCGUGGAGAGGGAAACAACCCAGACCGCCAGCUAAGGUCCCCAAGUACUAGUUAAGUGGGAAACGAUGUGGGAAGGCAUAGACAGCCAGGAGGUUGGCUUAGAAGCAGCCACCCUUUAAAGAAAGCGUAAUAGCUCACUGGUCGAGUCGGCCUGCGCGGAAGAUGUAACGGGGCUAAAACUAGUCACCGAAGCUGCGGAUGUGCGCGAAGGCGCACGUGGUAGGGGAGCGUUCUGUAGGCUGAUGAAGGUGCAUUGAGAAGUGUGCUGGAGGUAUCAGAAGUGCGAAUGCUGACAUGAGUAACGAUAAUGUGGGUGAAAAGCCCACACGCCGGAAGUCCCAGGUUUCCUGCACGACGUUAAUCGGAGCAGGGUGAGUCGGCCCCUAAGGCGAGGCUGAAGAGCGUAGUCGAUGGGAACCAGGUUAAUAUUCCUGGACUUUUUAUAAGUGGUGAAGUGGGGACGAAGAAGGCUAGGUGAGCCAGGCGUUGGUUGUCCUGGUACUUGCAUGUAGGGGGGAAGACUUGGCAAAUCCGGUUUUCCAUAACUCUGAGGUGCGAAGUGGUUCUGACCUUUUGGUACAGAGAAGUCAUUGAUGCCCGGCUUCCAGGAAAAGCUGCUAGCCAUAACUUAUAGAGAACCGUACCGCAAACCGACACAGGUGGACAGGUAGAGAAUACUAAGGCGCUUGAGAGAACUCGGGUGAAGGAACUAGGCAAAAUGGUACCGUAACU